GACAGAGGGUGCGAACGUUGUUCGGAAUUACUGGGCGUAAAGCGCGUGUAGGCGGCAAUGCAAGUCGGGCGUGAAAUCCCACGGCUCAACCGUGGAAGUGCACUCGAAACUGCAUAGCUAGAGUCCUGGAGAGGAAGGUGGAAUGCUUGGUGUAGAGGUGAAAUUCGUAGAUAUCAAGCGGAACACCGGUGGCGAAGGCGGCCUUCUGGACAGUGACUGACGCUGAGACGCGAAGGCGUGGGGAGCAAACAGG
rnacentral:rRNA from 1 species